UGGGGAAUUUUUGGCAAUGGGGGAAACCCUGACCAAGCAACGCCGCGUGGAUGAUGAAGUAUCUUGGUACGUAAAAUCCUUUCGACGGGGAAGAAAGCCGCAAGGUCUGACGGUACCCGUAGAAGAAGCCCCGGCUAACUCCGUGCCAGCAGCCGCGGUAAUACGGGGGGGGCAAGCGUUGUUCGGAAUUACUGGGCGUAAAGGGCGCGUAGGCGGUUUGUUAAGUUAGAUGUGAAAACUGUGGGCUCAACCUACAGCCUGCAUCUAAUACUGACAGGCUAGAGUUCUGGAGGGGAUAGCGGAAUUCCUGGUGUAGCGGUGAAAUGCGUAGAUAUCAGGAGGAACACCGGUGGCGAAGGCGGCUAUCUGGACAGAGUCUGACGCUGAGGCGCGAAAGCUAGGGGAGCAAACAG
rnacentral:rRNA from 1 species